AUGAGAUCCCAGCCGCGUUCGGUGCCUUCCCCGGCGCCGGCGACCCCUGCCCGGCUGCUCGCCGCAUCCUCGGCCACCUGCGAGCUCCGGACGGCCCUCCCUGCUCCGCCGCUCGUCUUCUCUGAGCUGGAGCCGCCGCCACCACCACCUCCUCUGCUCCUGGUGGCGCCCUCCGUCCUGGAUCUUGAUUUGCAGCGGACUCCUCCACCGCACGCCUUCAAGGUCUCUGUGGCCCCUCCGGAGCUCCUGCUGGAAGGGGCGCUGCUGCCUGUGGCGAGCCCCUGCUCGGUCGUCACGACCAUUGCUGUCGAGGAGGAGCCCUCUCUGCCUUUAGCGCUUGCUCUGGCGCGGCCGGGCUCUCAGAGCUCCAAGGAGGUGCUCGCUCCCGACGCCGUUGUGCGGGCCUCGCGGCCGCCGCUGGCCGUGUCGUGGGUUUCCCUCGCUGAUGAAGUCUGCAGCAUUGACAACGACGAGGAGCUCGCCCCGCUGACGCCAUUGGCUGCCAGAUGCUCCGGCGGGGUGAGCGAUCCGGCUGCUCCUGCUGUUGUUGCUACUGCUCCUGAGGCAUCUUCGGAUCUAGGAUGGGUGAAGGUGGGGGGCCGAUGUCGUUCGGCGUCACCGGCCUUGGCUCUGGCUCCACGGCCAAUCCCCGCUUGGCUUCACGGUCGCUGCUGCAGAUGCCUCGCUCGUGGCCACCGUGCUGCGGUUUGUAGAGAUCCCUUCCGAUGCUCUCGUUGCUUGGAGAACGGUCAUCGUGCGUGCAACUGCCGCAACCCAUGGCGUCCUCUCAGUUCAUUGGCAUGUCCUGUCGUCCCGCCCGUCUCUCGCCCUGGCACCCAACAACAUCCACCUCCUCCUUCAAGAGAGGGCCAAAUGAAAUCCACGCUCCCCUUCACUGCGCUUUGCCGUGGGUCUUGGGCGUCUGUGGUUUCUGCUUCUGCUAGCCCGACAACCCCAUCUUCUAUGGUUCUUCAGACCGCCCUUGCUGAUCAGACCGGGUUGCUUCAAGGCUGGCAGGCACGAAUUGAGAGCUUCCUGGAGCGGGCAGAGGCUGCUUUGAGUAGGCUCUCCCUUGUGCCUGGUUUUAUAUGUUGCGGUGGAGCUGUCAGUUGGUGCAGUUCUAUGGUGCCUAUUCCCACGAGCCCCUUGGUUGACGACAACGACACCAAGAAAUUCAAUGAGUUUUACGAUUUUCUUGACAAAUGGGUGGCUCACCAGUCGACAUCUGGCAAGACAAGUGACCCUGCAAAGAAGAUGCCAAGUAAGGAGAAACCAAAGAAGAAGAAAAACAAGAAGUGUGGCGCCAUCCGAAAGGCGUCUGUGGUUUCAUGA
rnacentral:rRNA from 1 species